rnacentral:rRNA from 1 species
CCUACGGGUGGCAGCAGUAGGGAAUCUUCCACAAUGGGCGAAAGCCUGAUGGAGCAACGCCGCGUGGGUGAAGAAGGUCUUCGGAUCGUAAAACCCUGUUGUUAGAGAAGAAAGAUCGAGAUAGUAACUGUUCACGUUUCGACGGUAUUUAACUAGAAAGCCACGGCUAACUACGUGCCAGCAGCCGCGGUAAUACGUAGGUGGCAAGCGUUAUCCGGAUUCAUUGGGCGUAAAGGGAGCGCAGGCGGUUUUUUAAGUCAGAUGUGAAAGCCUUCGGCUUAACCGUAGAAGUGCAUUUGAAACUGGGAGACUAGAGUACGGAAGAGGUAGGUGGAAUUCUUGGUGUAGGGGUAAAAUGCGUAGAGAUAAAGAAGAAUACUCAUGGCGAAGGCGGCUUUCUAG